UACGUAGGGUACGAGCGUUAAUCGGAAUUACUGGGCGUAAAGCGUGCGCAGGCGGCUUUGCAAGACAGAUGUGCAAUCCCCGGGCUCAACCUGGGAACUGCAUUUGUGACUGCAAGGCUAGAGUACGGCAGAGGGGGAUGGAAUUCCGCGUGUAGCAGUGAAAUGCGUAGAUAUGCGGAGGAACACCAAUGGCGAAGGCAAUCCCCUGGGCCUGUACUGACGCUCAUGCACGAAAGCGUGGGGAGCAAA
rnacentral:rRNA from 1 species